UAAUUAUCAAUUUUUAUCUUUAUAAGCCUUUGUAUGGCCUCCUCUGCAAUGCCAUUCUGAAGGGUGGAAAAGGGUAACUAAUUAUCUAUUUUUAUCUUUAUAAGCCUUUGUAUGGCCUCCUCUGCAAUGCCGUUCUGAAGGGUGGAAAAAGGUAACUAAUUAUCUAUUUUUAUCUUCAUAAGCUUUUGUAUGGCCUCCUCUGCAAUGCCAUACUGAAGGGUGGAAAAAGAUAACUAUUUAUAUAUUUUUAUCUUUAUCAGCCUUUGUUUGGCCUUCUCUGCAAUGCCGUUCUGAAGGGUGGAAAAGGGUAACUAAUUAUCAAUUUUUAUCUUUAUAAGCCUUUGUAUGGCCUCCUCUGCAAUGCCAUUCUGAAGGGUGGAAAAGGGUAACUAAUUAUCUAUUUUUAUCUUUAUAAGCCUUUGUAUGGCCUCCUCUGCAAUGCCGUUCUGAAGGGUGGAAAAAGGUAACUAAUUAUCUAUUUUUAUCUUUAUAAGCCUUUGUAUGGCCUCCACUGCAAUGCCAUUCUGAAGGGUGGAAAAAGUUACAAUCUGUAUCUAUUUUUCGUCUUUAAGUGAGUUGCAAACACAAAACUAGAACUAUUAGUGAACUCAUAAAGUAUUCUCUCCUCCCGUAAUAUUAUGAGUAAAUUUAUUAUCUCCCCUUUAACAUGUAGGACCAUCCCCAUGUAGCGUUCUACAACUGUGAAAAGUUGUCCAAUAUUUUUCUAGCCCUUAAGGAGGAGUUGCACCUUUAAGGAACAUAGGCAGACAGCUAGACUGACAAGAUUUUUUUGUGCAUGCCUGCUUGCACUAUUACAUUUCCAUAUUCAGUGAUCCUUGAUCUGGGUCAAAACCAUAAUUUUUCAUUUUUUUUUUAAGUUUUACUAUUGUAUGCAACACAUAAAACAAGUAUCAAUGACAGUUUUUCUACUUGCAAGGAAUUAAUCAAACUUGUAAUGGCCCUGGGGAAUUUUUACUCAUAAAUAACUCAAAAAAAUCACAAAGCAAAAAAAACAGUCAAGUAAAAGCAAUUAGGUCAGCAUAAACUGCAAAAAGUAAUUAUAUAAUAAUUUUAUAAGCUAGCAGACAAGUUUUAGUUUCACAUUUUGAUUUUUUCUUAAAAAUCUAGGCAUUAAUGAGUUACAUAGCAAAAUCAAAAUUUCAAAUGUUUUUGUUUUUGAGCUCACUGUUACAAUACAUAUGUAUAAUAUAAAUGCAAACUGUUAUUUGUUUCAGGUUACUGUAAAUUCAGAAAUUAUUGCGUGCAUUUAUUAUUGGGAUUUUGUCAUUUUGGACUAAAAUGCAAUUUAAAUUUUGCGAUAUUGAGAAAAAUCCUGUUUAAUUCAUAUAAAAAAUUUCAAAAUGCAAGUUUAAAUUAUUGCGAUUAUAACCUUGUCGCAUUUUUCGCAAUAAUAAAAACAUCGCAAUAAUUUCUAAAUUUACAGUAAUCCAUUGCUCCAAUAAUUGUUCCCGCUCAAUUAAUUUCUCCCUUGUAAAAUGAUUUCCUGACUUGAAACUCUUUAAGAAUAGUAAUCUGAAAAUUGUUCAUCUUAUUGAUUCCUAUGUGUGUCCCUCCAUAACUUUUUCAGGGAUGCUUUUGCCCUAUAACCCUAUGAUAAAAUUUUCUAAAAAAUCAUUGAAACCUAUCCCAACCCUCUUUCAAAUGUGCAAAACUACUAUUAUUAGUAUUUAAUUUCUUUUUGGAGAAACAAAACAACUUAAUUAUUAAAUUAAUUGAUAACAGCAGUUGUUUAUAUGGAUAAGUUAUUAAAAUGAACUCAAAAAUAAUUUUUAAUAUGAGUAAACCUCAAUCA